rnacentral:rRNA from 1 species
GAUGAACGCUAGCUACAGGCUUAACACAUGCAAGUCGAGGGGUAGCAGGGUAGCAAUACCGCUGACGACCGGCGCACGGGUGAGUAACACGUAUCCAACCUUCCCAUAACUCGGGGAUAGCCUUUCGAAAGAAAGGUUAAUACCCGAUAGUACUUUUUCAAGGCAUCUUGAGAAAGUUAAAGAUUUAUUGGUUAUGGAUGGGGAUGCGUUCCAUUAGAUAGUUGGUGAGGUAACGGCUCACCAAGUCUUCGAUGGAUAGGGGUUCUGAGAGGAAGGUCCCCCACAUUGGUACUGAGACACGGACCAAACUCCUACGGGAGGCAGCAGUGAGGAAUAUUGGUCAAUGGGCGAGGGCCUGAACCAGCCAAGUAGCGUGAAGGAUGAAGGUCCUAUGGAUUGUAAACUUCUUUUAUAGUAGAAUAAAGUGAUCCACGUGUGGAUUUUUGUAUGUAUACUAUGAAUAAGGAUCGGCUAACUCCGUGCCAGCCGCCGCGGUAACAC